AUCCAGCUGACGAGUCCCACAUAGGAGGAGAUGCACAUCCUGGAU
rnacentral:hammerhead_ribozyme from 1 species